AUGGGACCCUCCCUGCCAGGCUGCACCCAGAAUGGAGCUCACACGUGCCAGGGCGCUGUGGCCAGGCCGCAGGCCACCCUGAAGGGAACAGCCACAGCCACAACCAGCUGCCUGGCGGGCAGAGGACACGCAGCUCCACCCCACGCAGGUGCCGGCCAGGAGCACACAGACCCGGCUCCCGGGCCCCCCAGGCCGCCCAGGCCCAGCCAGCCUCAGGGAGCCCCUGGCCUCUCGUUGGCUUCCGCUGUAGCACACGCUCAUCCCUCAACCAACCCCUGUGGCCAUGGACUGUGCCACCGUCACUGGCUGAGGCCCGCGUCACAGGGUCCAGGAGGGGAUGUUAACUUCCCCCAAGCACGUGGGCCGAGGGGGGCAGGGAAGCCAGGAGCAGACGGGCAGGACACGCCAAGUCCCAUGUUGGGGGGGAGCACUGUGCCUGCGCCAUCCCCCCAACUGUCCUGCACCCCCGCCCACCCCCUGUUCCCCCCUCCCGGGGCUGCCUGCCCUGUGCGCCCCCUGGAGCAGAGGGGAGGCGUCCAGGUGCGACAGACGGCAGGGUACUCUGGGCGCCGUGGCAAAGGGCCCUCGUGUGAGCCGUGUGCGUCUUGGGCUUGGGGACUGGAGCCUAGAAAGGCGAUGAACCAGCUCCGGGCCGAGCAGUCCGUUCGAAUCAGGAAAAGACUUUUCAUUUGGAAUCCUUCCGAUGCAGAUGUGUGAAGACUCCGGUAGCGACAUCUCGGGGACUGAGCAUCUUCUAUUGAUUGGAAAACACACGGCACCAGCGAGUGUGCACAUCAUUGGGGGGGGGGGGGGGGUCCAGGCCGCGUGGGGAGCAGCUGCGGGGCCUCAGCGCCCCCUGGGAGCCGGAGACGGAACUGCAGCGGCCUGGCUGCGAUGGGGAGGCCCUGGGGACCCCGGUGGAGACCACGGAAGGGAAGCCAUGCCCGCGCCCGCCCUGCCGGUCCACCCCCACCCCCACACCCACACCCACCCCCACCCAGUGGCUCUGUGCAAAUCCCUUCACCUCUCUGCUGCCCAGCUUCCUCACCUGUAAAAGCGGGGUGACGCCCAGGUGCACCCCAAGGGCCUUCCCAGUUAGCUGUGCAACCUUGAGAAAGCCCAUGAGACCUCUCUGGGUCUUCUCGGCGGCCAGAGCGAUUCACACAUGGAGCUGCUCAGAGCAAGCGGAGAGAUGGCGGGCAGGUGACUGCCGGGCGCAGCCCCCCGGUGUCCCAUCGAUGGACGCAGCCAGCCCCGCGUCCCUCCUAGUGUGACGAGCAGGUAGGAAAACGCAGGCUCGGGGACCAAAGGCACGGCUCUGAGCCCGGAGGUCAAGGACAGACAGGAGGGCGCUGGCAGGAGCCAGCCCAGCCCCGGCGGCCUCUCGGGGCAUCCGGCCUGAGCUGUGGGCACCCUGGUCCCAGGGGUGAGCCCCUGAGCAUCCCCCAGACAAGCAUCCAUCCCCAGGGCCAGGCUGGUACACUGCCACCUGCCCGUCAGUCCACCUGGGUGAGUGGGGGAGCCGUCACAGGCCCCCCAGGAGGAGCUGGAAGGCCAGCAGGCCCCCCAAGGCCACAGCUCUUCCCCCACUAGGAGGGAGCAUGCGCAUGGGGCUCCUCGCACUGGCCACCCCAGCAGAGGGGCUGGAGGGGAAGGUGGGGGCACGUGGGGCUGUGCUGAGAAGGGUUUACAGUUGGGGGUUGGAGGGGAAGGACAG
rnacentral:lncRNA from 12 species